rnacentral:rRNA from 1 species
GGGUAGGUAAACUGGCAGUUCGAGCGAAGCGAUUACGCGGAAGUUCUCGGACGGAAGCGGAUGCGACUUCGCGGCGGACGGGUGAGUAACGCGUGGGUAACCCGCCUCAUACAGGGGGAUAACAGUUAGAAACGACUCGCUAAUACCGCAUAAGCGCACAGGACCGCAUGGUCUGGUGUGAAAAACUCCGGUGGUAUGAGAUGGACCCGCGUCUGAUUAGCUAGUUGGCGGGGUAACGGCCCACCAAGGCGACGAUCAGUAGCCGACCUGAGAGGGUGGCCGGCCACAUUGGGACUGAGACACGGCCCAAACUCCUACGGGAGGCAGCAGUGGGGAAUAUUGCACAAUGGGGGAAACCCUGAUGCAGCAACGCCGCGUGAGUGAAGAAGUAUUUCGGUAUGUAAAGCUCUAUCAGCAGGGAAGAAGAAAGACGGUACCUGACUAAGAAGCCCCGGCUAACUACGUGCCAGCAGCCGCGGUAAUACGUAGGGGGCAAGCGUUAUCCGGAUUUACUGGGUGUAAAGGGAGCGUAAACGGCAUAGCAAGUCUGAAGUGAAAGCCCGUGGCUCAACCGCGGAACUGCUUUGGAAACUGUUAAGCUGGAGUACUGGAGAGGCAAGCGGAAUUCCUAGUGUAGCGGUGAAAUGCGUANAUAUUAGGAGGAACACCAGUGGCGAAAGCGGCUUGCUGGACAAAAACUGACGUUGAGGCUCCAAAGCGUGGGGAGCCAACAGGAUUAGAUUCCCUGNU